UACAGAGGUCUCAAGCGUUGUUCGGAUUCAUUGGGCGUAAAGGGUGUGUAGGUGGCGCGCUAAGUCGGGUGUGAAAUUUACGGAGCUUAACUCCGAAACUGCAUUCGAUACUGGCGUGCUUGAGGACUGGAGGAGGAGACUGGAAUUUACGGUGUAGCAGUGAAAUGCGUAGAUAUCGUAAGGAAGACCAGUGGCGAAGGCGGGUCUCUGGACAGUUCCUGACACUGAGACACGAAGGCCAGGGGAGCAAACGGG
rnacentral:rRNA from 1 species